GGAUGAACGCUGGCGGCGUGGAUAAGGCAUGCAAGUCGAACGGACUUUUCAUAAUUGGAGAUGAGAUUAUAUCAAGUCAAAGGUCGUGAAAAGUUAGUGGCGAACGAGGUAGUAAUACGUAGGAACUUCCCCCGAAGUCGCGAAUAAUCCGCCGAAAGGCGGACUAAUACGCGAUAGUCUCGAAAGAGUAAAGAAUUUCGCUUCGGGAAAGGCCUGCGGGCUAUCAGCUAGUUGGCGGUGUAAUAGACCACCAAGGCGAUGACGGCUAGGGGAGCUGAGAGGCUGACCCCCACCGAUGGGACUGAGACACGGCCCAUACACCUACGGGUGGCUGCAGUCGAGAAUCUUCCGCAAUGGACGAAAGUCUGACGGAGCGACGCCGCGUGAUGGAUGAAGUCCCUUUGGGACGUAAACAUCUUUUAUGAGGGAAGAAAUUAUUGACGGUACCUCAGGAAUAAGGGGCUCCUAAUCUCGUGCCAGCAGGAGCGGUAAUACGAGAGCCCCAAGCGUUAUCCGGAAUUACUGGGCGUAAAGGGUGCGUAGGUUGCGUUGUUAGUCUUUUGUCAAAACCCCAAGCUCAACUUGGGAUCGGCGCGAGAUACGGCAAUGCUAGAAAGUGUGAGAGGUGUACGGAACUCAAGGUGUAGGGAUGAAAUCCGUUGAUAUCUUGGGGAACACCAAAAGCGAAGGCAGUACACUGGCACAUAUUUGACACUGAAGCACGAAAGCGUGGGUAGCGAAUGGGAUUAGAUACCCCAGUAGUCCACGCCCUAAACGAUGAUCUCUAGUCUUUCGGAGUAUCGACCCUCUGAGAGGCGUAGCUAACGCGUUAAGAGAUGCGCCUGGGAAGUACGGUCGCAAGACUAAAACUCAAAGGAAUAGACGGGGACUUGUACAAGCAGUGGAUUAUGUGGUUUAAUUCGAUGGUAACCGAAGAACCUUACCCAGAUUAGAAAUCCUAACGAAAGCUCCGAGAAACCGGAGCCCCCGCAAGGCGGUAGGACAGGUGAUGCAUGGCCGUCGUCAGUUCGUGGUUUGAAUUGUUCCCUUAAGUGGGGUAACGAACGCAACCCUCGUCGUCUGUUACAAGUGUCAGGCGAGACUGCCCCGACCUAAGAGCAUGAAGAAAUUCGUGAAUUUAGGUCGGGGAGGAAGGAGAGGAUGACGCCAGGUCAGCAUGUCCCUUUGAUAUCUGGGGCUACACACAUAAUACAAUGGCCGCUACAACAGGUUGCGAAAGCGUAAGCUCGAGCCAAUCCUUAUAAAAGCGGCCUCAGUUCGGAUAGGGGUCUGCAACUCGACCCCUUGAAGCUGGAAUUGCUAGUAAUCGCAGGUCAGCAAACUGCGGUGAAUACGUUCUCAAGUC
rnacentral:rRNA from 1 species